rnacentral:rRNA from 1 species
CGCUGGCGGCACGCUUAACACAUGCAAGUCGAACGGGAAUAUUUGAGUUACUUAGAUAUUCUUAGUGGCGGACGGGUGAGUAACACGUGAGCAACCUGCCUCUGAGAGGGGGAUAGCUUCUGGAAACGGAUGGUAAUACCCCAUAACAUAGUCUGAAGACAUCUUUAGACUAUCAAAGAUUUAUCGCUCAGAGAUGGGCUCGCGUCUGAUUAGCUAGUUGGUGAGGUAACGGCCCACCAAGGCGACGAUCAGUAGCCGGACUGAGAGGUUGAACGGCCACAUUGGGACUGAGACACGGCCCAGACUCCUACGGGAGGCAGCAGUGGGGAAUAUUGCACAAUGGGGGAGACCCUGAUGCAGCGAUGCCGCGUGGAGGAAGAAGGUUUUCGGAUUGUAAACUCCUGUCUUAAAGGACGAUAAUGACGGUACUUUAGGAGGAAGCUCCGGCUAACUACGUGCCAGCCGCUGC